GAACGCCUGGCGAGAUGCUUUACACAUGCAAGUCGUACGCNAGUCUUUGACUCGAGUGGCGGACGGGUGAGUAACACGUAAGAAUUUGCCUUUAGGAGGGGGACAACAACUGGAAACGGUUGCUAAUACCCCAUAUGCUUUCGAGUGAAAUGGAUUUUUUCCGCCUAGAGAGAAGCUUGCGGCUGAUUAGCUUGUUGGUGAGGUAAUGGCUUACCAAGGCGACGAUCAGUAUCUGGUUUGAGAGGACGAUCAGACACACUGGAACUGAGACACGGUCCAGACUCCUACGGGAGGCAGCAGUGGGGAAUUUUCCGCAAUGGGCGCAAGCCUGACGGAGCAAUCUCGCGUGAGGGAUGACUGCCUAUGGGUUGUAAACCUCUUUUUUCAGGGAGGAAUAAAUGACGUGUACCUGAAGAAUAAGCAUCGGCUAACUCCGUGCCAGCAGCCGCGGUAAUACGGAGGAUGCAAGUGUUAUCCNGAAUCACUGGGCGUAAAGCGUCUGUAGGUGGUUUAAUAAGUCAACUGUUAAAUCUUGAGGCUCAACUUCAAAAUCGCAGUCGAAACUAUUAGACUANAGUAUAGUAGGGGUNAAGGGAAUUUCCAGUGGAGCGGUGA
rnacentral:rRNA from 1 species